UCUCUCUCUCUCCUCCGUAAGAACAAGAAGCUGAAGUUUCAUCAAAAAAACAAUACCAUGGAUUUCUACUAAAUCAACGCACAAAAUUCGUUUUUGGUGAAGAUCAAGUUGCUCCUCUUGGUAUAUAAACCCUUGAAAAAAAAUCAAAGGGGAAGUGUUUGAGGAAGUGGACAGAUUUGGUUUGUUUACGGCGUAGACGAUUCGAACGUCCCCAAGUUGUGAUUGAACUGUUUUGUGGUAAAAUACCAAG